GGGUUGUGAGGUUAAGCGACUAAGCGUACACGGUGGAUGCCCUGGCAGUCAGAGGCGAUGAAGGACGUGCUAAUCUGCGAUAAGCGCCGGUAAGGUGAUAUGAACCGUUAUAACCGGCGAUUUCCGAAUGGGGAAACCCAGUGUGACUCGUCACACUAUCAUUAACUGAAUCCAUAGGUUAAUGAGGCGAACCGGGGGAACUGAAACAUCUAAGUACCCCGAGGAAAAGAAAUCAACCGAGAUUCCCCCAGUAGCGGCGAGCGAACGGGGAGGAGCCCAGAGCCUGAAUCAGCAUGUGUGUUAGUGGAAGCGUCUGGAAAGGCGCGCGAUA
rnacentral:rRNA from 2 species